GGACUACACGGGUAUCUAAUCCGUAUUGCUCCCCACGCUUUCGUGCCUCAAUGUCAGGAACCGAAUAGUUAACUGCCUUCGCCUUUUUUGGCGUUCCCGCUUAUAUCGUCGGAUUUCACCCCUCCAUAAGAGUUCCGUUAACCUCUCCGGUCCUCUAGCGAAGCAGUAUUAACAACUUCCACGAGGUUGAGCCUCGAUUUCCCACUGUUAACUUGCCUCACCAUCUACGCACCCUUUACGCCCAAUAAUUCCGGAUAACGUUUGCUACCUAUGUCUUACCGCGGCUGCUGGCAC
rnacentral:rRNA from 1 species